AGCCCAAACCGCUGCCGUUUCGGCGACAGCGGGGUCAUGGGACCGCGACAUUCGACGGAAGACGAAGUGCAAUUACCUGGAAAGGUAAGCCGUGGAGGGUGACAGCCCCGUGCACGACACCUCUUUCUUAGAUAGCGGAAUCCCGAGUAGGGCGGGACACGAGAAAUCCUGCCUGAAUUCGCCAGGACCGCCUGGCAAGGCUAAAUACUCCCGAGAGACCGAUAGUGAACCAGUACCGCGAGGGAAAGGUGAAAAGUACCCCGAGCAGGGGGGUGAAAUAGACCCUGAACCCGCGCGCCUACAAGCGGUCGGAGCCACGCGAUGUGGUGACGGCGUGCCUUUUGCAUAAUGAGCCUACGAGUUAGUCGUCACCAGCGAGGUUAAGGGCUUCAGGCCCGUCAGCCGAAGUGAAAGCGAGCCUUAACAGGGCGUAAAGUUGGUGGCGCUAGACGCGAAACCUUGUGAUCUACCCACGAGCAGGUUGAAGUCGCGGUAACGCGUGAUGGAGGACCGAACCGGUAAACGUUGAAAAGUUUUCGGAUGACUCGCGGGUAGGGGUGAAAGGCCAAUCAAACUGGGAAAUAGCUCGUACUCUCCGAAAUGCAUUUCGGUGCAGCCUGUGAUGUUCUGUUCCAGAGGUAGAGCUACUGGUUGGACGCGAGGGCUUCACCGCCUAUCAAAUCCGGAUAAACUCCGAAUGCUGGAACACGAAAUCAUGGAGUGAGCCCGCGGGUGCUAAGGUCCGCGGACGAGAGGGAAAGAACCCGGACCACCGGCUAAGGUCCCGGAUGGACAGUUAAGUUGAUCAAACGAGGUGGGAUCGCGGAGACAGCUAGGAUGUUGGCUUGGAAGCAGCCAUUCAUUUAAAGAGUGCGUAACAGCUCACUAGUCGAGCGAUCCCGCGUGGAUAAUACACGGGCAUAAAACUGUCAACCGAAGCCGUGGGGUUAGCUUUAUUGCUAACCGGUAGGAGAGCAUUCCUGCCAGCUUUGAAGGUCACCCGCGAGAGUGACUGGAGCGGCAUGAAAAGCAAAUGUAGGCAUAAGUAACGAUAAUGGGGGCGAGAACCCCCCACGCCGCAAGACCAAGGCUUCCCCGGCAAUGUCAAUCAGCCGGGGGUCAGCCGGCCUCUAAGGCUAACCCGAAGGGGGAUGCCGACGAGAAACGGGUUAACAUUCCCGUGCUUCUCGUCACCGUGACGCGGUGACGGGGUGAUGAAUGGACCGCGCGCAGACGGAAUAGCGCGUUGAAGGCCGUACCCUUCGAGGGUGGUAGUCAAGCACGCCACCCGAGGCGAAAGCCGAUAGUACCUCGAGGCCUCGGCCGAGGGGAUAGCGUCCAGGCAAUUAACCCCCUAGAAAACCCGCUAAACUUCAAGUGACGAGGAACCGUACCGUAAACGGACACACGUGGUCGGGUAGAACAUACCAAGGCGCUCGAGUGAUUCAUGGUCAAGGAACUAGGCAAAAUAGUCCUGUAACUUAGGGAUAAAGGACGCUCUAGUGAUAGAGCCGCAGAGAAAUGGCCCAGGCGACUGUUUACCAAAAACACAUGGCUAUGCCAAAUCGAAAGAUGACGUAUAUGGCCUGACACCUGCCCGGUGCCGGAAGGUUAAGAGGAGAGCUCAUCAGUAAUGAGAAGGUUUGAAUUGAAGCCCCGGUAAACGGCGGCCGUAACUAUAACGGUCCUAAGGUAGCGAAAUUCCUUGUCGGGUAAGUUCCGACCUGCACGAAUGGUGUAACGAUCUGGGCACUGUCUCGACCAUGAGCUCGGUGAAAUUGUAGUUCCGGUGAAGAUGCCGGGUACCCGCGACGGGACGGAAAGACCCCGUGAACCUUUACUGCAGCUUCGCGUUGUUCCCGGGCACGGGACGUGUAGGAUAGGUCGGAGGCUACGAUUCGGUUUCGCCAGGAAUCGAGGAGCCAUCGUUGAAAUACGACCCUUCUCUUGUCUGGGAUCUAACCCUAGGUACAGGGGACACCGCGUGGUGGGUAGUUUGACUGGGGUGGUCGCCUCCAAAAGCGUAACGGAGGCUUCCAAAGGUACCCUCGGGUUGGUUGGUAAUCAACCUCAGAGUGCAAUGGCACAAGGGUGCUUGACCGGGAGACCAACGAGUCGAUCGGGUGCGAAAGCAGGGCAUAGUGAUCCGGUGAUCCCGCGUGGAAGGGUCAUCGCUCAAAGGAUAAAAGGUACUCCGGGGAUAACAGGCUGAUCGCCCCCAAGAGCUCAUAUCGACGGGGCGGUUUGGCACCUCGAUGUCGGCUCGUCACAUCCUGGGGCUGGAGAAGGUCCCA
rnacentral:rRNA from 1 species